rnacentral:tRNA from 1 species
UGUUCUGUAGCUUAGUUGGUUAAAGCGCCGGUCUAGCGUACACGGAGUCGUGAGUUCGAGUCUUACUAGAACGC